ACAGCAGCAGCCACGGUAAAACAGAGGGUGCGAGCGUUAAUCGGAUUUACUGGGCGUAAAGCGUGCGUAGGCGGCUUCUUAAGUCGGAUGUGAAAUCCCUGAGCUUAACUUAGGAAUUGCAUUCGAUACUGGGAAGCUAGAGUAUGGGAGAGGAUGGUAGAAUUCCAGGUGUAGCGGUGAAAUGCGUAGAGAUCUGGAGGAAUACCGAUGGCGAAGGCAGCCAUCUGGCCUAAUACUGACGCUGAGGUACGAAAGCAUGGGGAGCAAACAGGAUUAGAUACCCCGGUAGUCCCUGUCUCUUAUAA
rnacentral:rRNA from 1 species